UCUCGAUGACGUAAAAGUUAACUCAAAUUUGUAUGGAGUUGGAACAUUUUCUUAUGUUUGCCACUAGGGGCGCUGUUCCAACGUGCAUACGAAUUUGAGUUGACUUUUACGUUAUCUA
rnacentral:pre_miRNA from 9 species